rnacentral:rRNA from 1 species
ACGCUCGACACCUACGUGAGGCAGCAGUGGGGAAUAUUGCACAAUGGGGGAAACCCUGAUGCAGCGACGCCGCGUGGAGGAAGAAGGUCUUCGGAUUGUAAACUCCUGUUGUUGGGGAAAAAGAGGAUGGUACCCAACAAGGAAGUGACGGCUAACUACGUGUCCAGCAGCCGCGGUAAUCUGAGCGGGCUGGCAAGGC